rnacentral:rRNA from 1 species
GACGAACGCUGGCGGCGUGCUUAACACAUGCAAGUCGAGCGGUAAGGCCCUUUCGGGGGGUACACGAGCGGCGAACGGGUGAGUAACACGUGGGUGACCUGCCCUCAGCUCUGGGAUAAGCCUGGGAAACUGGGUCUAAUGCUGGAUAUGACUCCACGGUGCAUGUCGUGGGGUGGAAAGCCUUGUGCGGCUGAGGAUGGGCCCGCGGCCUAUCAGCUUGUUGGUGGGGUGAUGGCCUACCAAGGCGACGACGGGUAGCCGGCCUGAGAGGGCGACCGGCCACACUGGGACUGAGACACGGCCCAGACUCCUACGGGAGGCAGCAGUGGGGAAUCUUGCGCAAUGGGCGAAAGCCUGACGCAGCGACGCCGCGUGAGGGAUGACGGCC